rnacentral:lncRNA from 1 species
CUCUUUCGUCUGCCCGAGGAGGCUGUAAAGUGCCAUCGUAGAGGCCUGGGUGACACCACAGCUCCGGGGACGGCUGGGAGGGGAGGAAGCACUGGCGGGCGAGCUGGCGUGGAGACUUGCCCUGGUGUAUGGUCAGCAUUUUGGAGCUUGAAUUGAUCCUCAGUGGAGUGUUUUCCUCGUUUUUUGUCUGUUGUAGCCUGUGCAGUGUACAGCUAACUGUCUGCUGCCAUGCUGCCUGUGAAAGAUGUAUUUUUGGAAGGGAGGCUGGGCUAAGGAGACAACUGAUGGGAGGGAGAAAACACUUGGCCUGUGCUGGGCUGAGGAUCUUGGAGAUGGGUGCGUUGGCCAAAGCUGGAGUUUGUCUUCAUGUAACUUCUAAGUGGAGAGAAGCAGGACUGAGAUGGUUUACAGCUGUAGGUCUGAUAGCCUGCUCCCCCACAAAGGACCAUCAACAGCUUGGCCCAGGGACUUGCUGGAAGUGUGGUUGGCCCGAACUCUUGUGGGUACCGAUGGCAGGAUGUGCCCCGUGA